rnacentral:lncRNA from 1 species
GAUCUCCUCUCCCUCUGCCGCUACAGUCGCCACCACUGCACCUCAUUUCUUCCUCCUCCCUGAACCACCGGAGGUCCAACAAGAUUAUCGACGUCGUCACGAUUUUCACCAUCAAAAACCUCAUCUCCCUCUCUAUUUCAACGGCGAGCGGCGAGAAUCGCCGCCGCCCCCUUCUCUUUCAGUCUGACAGUAGCGACCAUCAAUUAUCAACAUCGCCGCGACGAACCACCAUCACCACCACCUCUGAUUCUCCCUGAGUCGCUCUCUCUUCUCCCCCUGAACAGGCCAAACGACCUAGAUUCUAAGCAUCGUCGCUGUCCCAGACGUCCUGCCCGACUACUCGCCGGAGCCCACAACCAGC